AGGUACUACAGAAUAAAGACGACGGGAACGAGAUGGAGCCCGAAAAGGAAACUGCGAUAACACCCGAAACAUUAAAGGUGGUUGAAGAAAAUUGCCGCAAAAUAACAAACGAGACUUGUGUCAAACUGUGUAUAAUGAUGAAAUUAGGAGUUAUAGAUGAGCGCGGAUGGUACGUGGAGAGUAAAGGGACAGAAUUCAUAAAGAGUAUAUUUCCUACAGAUGUAAUCAUAGACAACCAAGAAUCGAUAUUUCAGCAAACAGCUCAAACAUGCAACCGUG